rnacentral:misc_RNA from 1 species
GGAAGUAAAAGUCGUAACAAAGUUUCCGUAGGUGAACCUGCGGAAGGAUCAUUCAUAAUAAGUGUUUUAUGGCACUUUUUUAAAUCCAUAUCCACCUUGUGUGCAAUGUCAGGGUUGAUUUUUCUCUCGAGAGGAUCAACCCCAAACAUCAACUAUAUCUCAACUCUUUGUCUGAAAAAUAUUAUGAAUAAAACAAUUCAAAAUACAACUUUCAACAACGGAUCUCUUGGCUCUC